GAUGAACGCUGGCGGCGUGCCUAAUACAUGCAAGUCGAGCGAACAGACGAGGAGCUUGCUCCUCUGACGUUAGCGGCGGACGGGUGAGUAACACGUGGAUAACCUACCUAUCAGACUGGGAUAACUUCGGGAAACCGGAGCUAAUACCGGAUAAUAUAUUGAACCGCAUGGUUCAAUAGUGAAAGACGGUUUUGCUGUCACUUAUAGAUGGAUCCGCGCCGCAUUAGCUAGUUGGUAAGGUAACGGCUUACCAAGGCAACGAUGCGUAGCCGACCUGAGAGGGUGAUCGGCCACACUGUAACAUUGACACGGUCCUGACUCCCACGCGAGUCAGCAGUGGGGAAGCUUCCGCAAUGGGCGAAAGCGUGACGGAGCAACGCCGCGUGAGUGAUGAAGGUCUUCGGAUCGUAAAGCUGUGUUACUAGUGAAGAACAAAUGUGGAAGUAACUAUGCUCGUCUUGACGGUACUUAAUCAGAAAGCCACGGCUAACUACGUG
rnacentral:rRNA from 1 species